UACGUAGGGUGCGAGCGUUAAUCGGAAUUACUGGGCGUAAAGGGUGCGUAGGCGGUUUGCUAAGACAGGUGUGAAAUCCCCGGGCUUAACCAAGGAAGUGCAUCCAAAACUACUGAGCUUGAGUACUAAAGAGGAUCGCGGAAUUCCCGGUGUAGAGGUGAAAUUCGUAGAUAUCGGGAGGAACACCAGUGGCGAAGGCGGCGAUCUGGGUAGAUACUGACGCUGAGGUGCGAAAGCGUGGGGAGCAAACAGG
rnacentral:rRNA from 1 species